rnacentral:rRNA from 1 species
UACGAAGGGGGCUAGCGUUGCUCGGAAUCACUGGGCGUAAAGGGCGCGUAGGCGGCCGAGCAAGGUCGCGGUGAAAGCCCGGGGCUCAACCCCGGGUCGGCCGUGGCAACUACUCGGCUCGAGCACUGUAGGGGCGGGUGGAAUUCCGGGUGUAGCGGUGGAAUGCGUAGAGGAUCCGGAAGAACACCGGUGGCGAAGGCGGUCUGCUGGGCCGUUGCUGGACGCUGAGGCGCGACAGCGUGGGGAGCAAAC